UACAGAGGUGGCAAGCGUUGUUCGGAAUUACUGGGCGUAAAGGGCGCGUAGGCGGCCAUCUAAGUCAGACGUGAAAUCCCCCGGCUUAACCUGGGAACUGCGUCCGAUACUGGUUGGCUUGAAUCCGGGAGAGGGAUGUGGAAUUCCAGGUGUAGCGGUGAAAUGCGUAGAUAUCAGGAGGAACACCGGUGGCGAAGGCGGGUCUCUGGGCAGUAACUGACGCUGAGGAGCGAAAGCGUGGGGAGCGAACAGG
rnacentral:rRNA from 1 species